rnacentral:rRNA from 1 species
CUACACAUGCAGUCGACGGUAACAGGAAGNAGCUUGCUUUCUUUGCUGACGAGUGGCGGACGGGUGAGUAAUGUCUGGGAACUGCCUGAUGGAGGGGGAUAACUACUGGAAACGGUAGCUAAUACCGCAUAACGUCGCAAGACCAAAGAGGGGGACCUUCGGGCCUCUUGCCAUCGGAUGUGCCCAGAUGGGAUUAGCUAGUAGGUGGGGUAACGGCUCACCUAGGCGACGAUCCCUAGCUGGUCUGAGAGGAUGACCAGCCACACUGGAACUGAGACACGGUCCAGACUCCUACGGGAGGCAGCAGUGGGGAAUAUUGCACAAUGGGCGCA